UCCCUCAAGAACCCUAAAGAGUUUGGGAAGGACAAGGGAAAAACCCUAGGAAGGAAGCGCACAGCGGCGCCAUUGUGUUUGAGCGGUCGAUCGUUUGGCGAUGGCGGGGCCUGCGGGGGGUCCAUACUCCGGGACGAGCACACUGGCUAUGGUCGCUAGAGUCUCUGCGUUCUCAUUUGGGCUUGUCUAUGGUGCGAUGAAGUUAAGUUACUUGAAGGCAAAGGCUCGAUCGGAGCAAAGGGCUGCCGCCAAAAUGGCACACUGAGACGGAGAGAACUUUCCACAGCCACCUUCCAUUUCAACCCUCGGGGACUCUUUUGAUAAACCUUGGAAUGGUAUGGUUCAUUUUUCCGCAAUAGCAGCAGCUAGCAACGAAUUUUUCCCCCGAGGAUUCUAAUCUCUUCUUUUUGGAUCAUUUGGAUCAAAGAAUAAGCUCCUGGAGAGUCUCUUUUUCCGAAGAAGUUCUGCUCUUGCUCGCUGGGCCUUGAUGACACAGAAACAUUUCUCGAUGCUGAGAGGAAAAAAAAUAUCCCUGCUGAGAAAUCGUGCGUAGUGUCUGAUGCCCAGGACCAAGGACUUAAGGGUUUUUAGGGCACAUGGAGGAUGGCACAUGGAUGUGCCAUGCAUGUAGCCAUGAUGCGGCCAUAUCCACUUGGCGCAAGUUGCCUGAUAUUGACGUGACAGUGAUGUGGGAUCCGCAUGCAUGCCAAUGGAUGCGUAGGUAUGCGCAUAUAUGACAGGCCACAAGUGGGCACAUGGGGCCGCUAGGAUGGCUCGCCGAGCUUGCUUGUGACGAGCAAGUGAGGCACCAGGAAUUGGAUUUCGCGAUUUUGUUCUAUCCGUGGGGCUGCAGACAAGCAUUUUUAUACGCAUUACUAUUUACAAUAUCAUGCUUUUUUCCCGCCUUUUGCAA